GGUGAACGCUGGCGGCGUGCUUAAGACAUGCAAGUCGAACGCAGUCUUCGGACUGAGUGGCGCACGGGUGAGUAACACGUAACUGACCUACCCUCAAGUCGCGAAUAACCAGCCGAAAGGAUGGCUAAUACGUGAUGUGAUGAUCCGCUGUGGCGGAUCAUUAAAGACUUGAUCGCUUGGGGAUGGGGUUGCGUUCCAUCAGCUAGUUGGUAAGGUAAAGGCUCACCAAGGCAACGACGGAUAGCCGGCCUGAGAGGGUGGCCGGCCACAGGGGCACUGAGACACGGGUCCCACUCCUACGGGAGGCAGCAGUUAGGAAUCUUCCACAAUGGGCGCAAGCCUGAUGGAGCGACGCCGCGUGAGGGAUGAAGGUUCUCGGAUCGUAAACCUCUGAACCACCGACGAAAGACCCGACAAGGGAGAUGACGGUAGUUGGGUAAUAGCACCGGCUAACUCCGUGCCAGCAGCCGCCGUAAAAC
rnacentral:rRNA from 1 species